UACGUAGGUGGCAAGCGUUGUCCGGAUUUACUGGGCGUAAAGCGUGCGUAGGCGGUUCAGCAAGUCGGGUGUGAAAUCCCUGGGCUUAACCCAGGAACUGCAUUCGAUACUACUGAGCUGGAGUAUGGUAGAGGGUAGUGGAAUUCCGGGUGUAGCGGUGAAAUGCGUAGAUAUCCGGAGGAACACCAGUGGCGAAGGCGGCUACCUGGACCAAUACUGACGCUGAGGCACGAAAGCGUGGGGAGCAAACAGG
rnacentral:rRNA from 1 species